rnacentral:rRNA from 1 species
UACGGAGGGGGCGAGCGUUAAUCGGAAUUACUGGGCGUAAAGGGCGCGUAGGCGGUGGGUUACGUCUGCCGUGAAAUCCCCGGGCUCAACCUGGGAAUGGCGGUGGAAACGGGCUGACUGGAGUAUGGGAGAGGGUGAUGGAAUUCCAGGUGUAGCGGUGAAAUGCGUAGAGAUCUGGAGGAACACCAGUGGCGAAGGCGGUCACCUGGCCCAAUACUGACGCUGAGGCGCGAAAGCGUGGGGAGCAAACAGG